rnacentral:rRNA from 1 species
UUACGAUUGUGUGAAUACAUAGCACAUUCGAGGUAGACGCAGAGAACUGAAACAUCUAAGUACCUGCAGGAAGAGAAAGAAAAUUCGAUUCCCUGAGUAGCGGCGAGCGAAACGGGAAAAGCCCAAACCAGCAAGCUUGCUUGUUGGGGUUGUAGGACUCCAAUAUGGUAGUUCUUUCAGAUAGUCGAAUGACUUGGAAAAGUCAGUCAAAGAGGGUAAAAACCCCGUAGACGAAAUGUGGAAGACACCUAGGAGGAUCCUGAGUACGGCGGAACACGAGAAAUUCCGUCGGAAUCCGGGAGGACCAUCUCCCAAGGCUAAAUACUCCCUAGUGACCGAUAGUGAACCAGUACCGUGAGGGAAAGGUGAAAAGCACCCCGGAAGGGGAGUGAAAUAGAACCUGAAACCGUGUGCCUACAACAAGUCAAAGCCCGUUAAUGGGUGAUGGCGUGCCUUUUGUAGAAUGAACCGGCGAGUUACGAUUGCAUGCGAGGUUAAGUUGAAGAGACGGAGCCGCAGCGAAAGCGAGUCUGAAUAGGGCGUUUGAGUAUGUAGUCGUAGACCCGAAACCAUGUGAUCUACCCAUGUCCAGGUUGAAGGUGCGGUAAAACGCACUGGAGGACCGAACCCACGUACGUUGAAAAGUGCGGGGAUGAGGUGUGGGUAGCGGAGAAAUUCCAAACGAACUUGGAGAUAGCUGGUUCUCUCCGAAAUAGCUUUAGGGCUAGCCUCGGAAUUGAGAAUGAUGGAGGUAGAGCACUGUUUGGACUAGGGGCCCAUCUCGGGUUACCGAAUUCAGAUAAACUCCGAAUGCCAUUCAUUCAUAUCCGGGAGUCAGACUGUGAGUGAUAAGAUCCAUAGUCGAAAGGGAAACAGCCCAGACCACCAGCUAAGGUCCCAAAAUAUAUGUUAAGUGGAAAAGGAUGUGGGGUUGCACAGACAACUAGG